AUAAAUAUCAUGUAGGUAGGUGGGUUUCCUGGGGUGACGCGAGUUUAUUACAUUCAGGAUGUGCUAACCCUUGCAAUUUUUCAAAUUUAGGAAACUCAACUACAAAAUUUAUGGUAGUGGCGAACUGUAUUCAUGCUCCCCUCUU
rnacentral:snRNA from 1 species